rnacentral:rRNA from 1 species
UGAGGCCUACGGGGGGCAGCAGUAGGGAAUUUUCGGCAAUGGGGGGAACCCUGACCGAGCAACGCCGCGUGAACGAAGAAGUUAUUCGUAAUGUAAAGUUCUUUUAUCAGGGAAGAAAGAGGAAUUUGACGGUACCUGAGGAAUAAGCUCCGGCUAACUACGUGCCAGCAGCCGCGGUAAUACGUAGGGAGCGAGCGUUAUCCGGAUUUAUUGGGUGUAAAGGGCGUGUAGGCGGGAACGCAAGUCAGAUGUGAAAACUCAGGGCUCAACCCUGAGCCUGCAUUUGAAACUGGGUUUCUUGAGUG